GGGUUUAGGGCGUGGCUGUGAUUGACUUUAUGGUGUGUCCUGAUGUGGUGCAUAUGCACACCAAAUAUUGUAGCUGUAAAUGAAACAUUGCGGCAGUUGGCCAAAUGACCCCUUUUUGAAUUUUGUAGGGGGCGCUAUAGAGCCAUUUUGCCACGCACAUGCGCAGCUCCUAUAAAAUAUCAAAUUAUUCACCAGUCCUGAUGACCAUGGCGAAUUUCACGCGUUUUAGAAUAUGAUAAGACCGUCAAAAAAGCACUUUGUUUUGCAUGGUGAUAUGUGGUUGCUACGGCAACAACGUUGCAUGAAAUGUCACACCCUUCUCAGUGUGGAAUUUUCAAGAGGUGAAGACUCGACUGACCUAUUUCCAGCAUGAUAUCAUCAAGUUCGGGGCCAUUGUACCUGAAAAUAUAAGGCCUUAAACUUACUAUUACCAACAGGUGGCGCUAUGACUUUUUCAGAAUUUAUGAGUGUGGACGUGUUCAGACUGGACCUGGUGUCCAUCAUGUGAAGUUUGGGGCAGAUAGGAUCUUGUUCAGCUGAGAUAUGAAUCGUUAAAUUUUCAUGGCGAAACAUCAAAAUUGGUUUGGCCGCCACAGACACGCCCUUUGAUGACAAGUCACCAUUUUCACUGGGAUGCAUCAUCAAUGUGUUCAGCCUGUUGUCACCGCAUUUGAAGUGAAUAUGAUCAACCGGGUAACAAUAGGGCAUGAAAGUGUAAAAGAUGUCUAUUUCCUGAAACCACAAGGUGGCGCUAUGACUGUCAAUGAAUAUCCCUAUGUGGAUGACAUCAGGACAGGACUGUCAUCAUACAUGUACAGUUUCAGGCAGAUUGGAGAAUGGUCAGAAGAAUUAGACACCACUUCCUCUUUCAUGGCGAAGGAUCAGUUUUUUGAGGCUCCGCCAUGGCCACACCUUUUGGCUUCUGGUUGAGUUUUUGAUAACUUUUCAUCAGAAAGGUCUGGUGCAUGUACUGGCCAAAUUUCAGUUCUCUCAGACUUAUCCACAAGGAGCUAUUAAUUUUGACAAAUGUACAGUAAAUUCAAGAUGUCUGACUUUCUGUUGGGUUUAGGGUGUGGCUGUGAUUGACUUUUUGGUGUGUCCUGAUGUGGUGCAUAUGCCCACCAAAUAUUGUCGCUGUAAAUGGAAUAUUGUGGAAGUUGGACUUAUGACCACUUUUCAAUUUUGCAGGUGGCGCUAUAGAGCCAUUUUGCCACGCGCAUGCGCAACUCCCAUAAAAUAUCAAAUUUUUCGCCAGUCCUGAUGUGCACGCCAAAUUUCAUGCGUUUUGGAGGAUGAUAAGGCCCCCAAAAAUCUAAUUUACUUAACGGGAGAAAUUAAUUUUGACAAAUUUACAGCAAAUUCAAGAUGGCCGACUUCCUGUUGGGUUUAGGGCGUGCCUGUGAUUGACUUUUUGGUGUGUCCUGAUGUGGUGCAUAUGCCCACCAAAUAUUGUAGCUGUAAAUGAAACAUUGUGGAAGUUGGCCUAAUGACCACUUUUCAAUUUUGCAGGUGGCGCUAUAGAGCCAUUUUGCCACACACAUGCGCAACUCCCAUAAAAUAUCAAAUUUUUCGCCAGUCCUGAUGUGCACGCCAAAUUUCACGCAUUUUGGAAAAUGAUAAGGCCGCCAAAAAGGCAAUUCAUUUCCCGAGGAGCUAUUAAGUUUGAAAAAUUUACAGCAAAUGGAAGAUGGCCGACUUCCUGUUGGGUUUAGGGCGUGGCUGUACUUGACUUUUUGGUGUGUCCUGAUGUUCUGCAUAUGCCCACCAAAUAUUGUAGCUGUACAUGAAACAUUGUGGCAGUUGGCCUAAUGACUACUUUUUCAACUUUGCAGGUGGCGCUAUAGAGCCAUUUUGCCACGCACAUGCGCAACUCCCAUAAAAUAUCAAAUUUUUCGCCAGUCCUGAUGUGCAUGCCAAAUUUCACGCGUUUUGGAGUAUGAUAAGGCCGCCAAAAAG